rnacentral:rRNA from 1 species
CAGCAGCCGCGGGAAUACGUAGGGGGCUAGCGUUGUUCGGAAUUACUGGGCGUAAAGCGCACGUAGGCGGCUUUAUAAGUCAGAGGUGAAAGUCUGGAGCUCAACUCCAGAAUUGCCUUUGAGACUGCAUCGCUUGAACGUCGGAGAGGUGAGUGGAAUUCCGAGUGUAGAGGUGAAAUUCGUAGAUAUUCGGAAGAACACCAGUGGCGAAGGCGGCUCACUGGACGACUGUUGACGCUGAGGUGCGAAAGCGUGGGGAGCAAACAGGAUUAGAUACCCGCGUAGUCCCUGUCUCUUAUAA